rnacentral:rRNA from 1 species
GAUGAACGCUGGCGGCGUGCCUAAUACAUGCAAGUCGAGCGAACUGAUUAGAAGCUUGCUUCUAUGACGUUAGCGGCGGACGGGUGAGUAACACGUGGGCAACCUGCCUGUAAGACUGGGAUAACUUCGGGAAACCGAAGCUAAUACCGGAUAGGAUCAUCUCCUUCAUGGGAGAUGAUUGAAAGAUGGUUUCGGCUAUCACUUACCGAUGGGCCCGCGGUGCAUUAGCUAGUUGGUGAGGUAACGGCUCACCAAGGCAACGAUGCAUAGCCGACCUGAGAGGGUGAUCGGCCACACUGGGACUGAGACACGGCCCAGACUCCUACGGGAGGCAGCAGUAGGGAAUCUUCCGCAAUGGACGAAAGUCUGACGGAGCAACGCCGCGUGAGUGAUGAAGGCUUUCGGGUCGUAAAACUCUGUUGUUAGGGAAGAACAAGUACAAGAGUAACUGCUUGUACCUUGACGGUACCUAACCAGAAAGCCACGGCUAACUACGUGCCAGCAGCCGCCGUAAUAC